AGCUGAUCCUAGGUAUGCACUUGUAACACUGAGACCCACAUUCCUUUCAAACUUCCCCUGGCCCCCUGCUUUCUCCCACCUCUGGCCAGUGCAGUGUAUUUGAUUGCUGCCUUCCACUAUUUUUUCUCAGGACAAGAAAAGAAAUAGUCCAGAGAGUAGAUCCAACCACCAGGCAAGCAGAAAGGGAUCCAGCUUCCACAUCUCCCUGCAAAAGUCACACCCCAUGUGAAAUGCCCAUGCAGCAUAACAUCAUCCAGGACCCAGAUAGGAGCAGCACCGGUUUUGUUCCGUUUUGUUAUUUUUCACUCCAGAUUGAGCUGCGUGGAAUCACUAGACCACCCUAAUCAGGACCAGCUGCAAUCCCCACAGCACCUAUUAGCAUGAAAAGAAACCGAUAGAAGGUAGUUAUGGUUACUGGGUGUAAAAAGGCUUCCCUAAUCCACUUUAAGAGCUCUAGACUUCUGCCUUCUUAAUAAGGGCGCAGGAGCUGCUGCUGUUGCUGAGCCCAGCCCAGCCCUGGCUGGUCAGGCAGCCCCGGCGGCGGCGACGCCUUCCCUCACCUACCUGCAGCCCCGCUUCCUUAAGGAACCACCUAGCGAUCCUCCUUCAGAUCCCAAAGGGAAACUCCAACCUUAUCGGACUUGCAUCGCUUCCAAUUUCCAAAUCCGCCUGCAGCAUCCGGUAGCAUUGGGUGGGGGUGCGGUGAGGUGGGGCGAGUUGGGGGGCUGGGGAGCGGGCUGGGGAGUCCGUGUGUACACGGCGAGCUACUUUUUCAAGAUGGGGCAAAAUGUUUUCGUGGAGAAAAGAAGUUUGCGCCCCUCGUCGCCGGGGAUCAAUCCGGAGGCAAACCGGGGAAAGGGGUACGGGAAGGAGAGGCCGGGCGUCGGAUCCGCUUGCGCGAUUUCCCGAUCCCACUCAUACAAAAGGUACUCUAAGAAUAUCAUCAAACAUGAACACCAGUAAUAAUGUUUAUAACAGCAUUUUAAGGCAGCAGGUAAUGCUUCUUCAUGAAUACAUAUGAGUUCAUAAAUAUGUAUUAUUCUGAUUUAUAUUCUGUGUUGAAACACAGAGGGUUAAGAGUUAAAAUAUUUUUGCCAUUCCCUUUCCUCAUCUUUUCAUUUUUAAUCCUACUCUUGGCCUACCGUCACUGCUAUUUAAUAUUAUGGCCCUCCUGCUGCAGAAAGGGGGGGGGAAUGUUGAGCAAGUAAAUAU
rnacentral:lncRNA from 1 species